UUGGUACAAGAAUCAUAUUAGCAUGCAUCAGAAGAUAAGUUUUCUAUGAUCAUAAACAUGGCCGAUGAUGUUUAUCAAUGAUGAUCUUCUAAGAAAAUAACAAAUUUCUAAAAUUGAAGGACAACAAACAUAAAAAAUGAAGGACAAUAGAGAAUAACCAUACAUAUUCUCACAUAGAUUUUUCGCUACAAAAUACACACAUUUGCAAUAUGCUAUCAAAAUCCAAACGGUGCAAGGCUACCUCAAUGAUUAUCACUAAAUCCAAAUUAUGCAAUCAAAAUCAAAGGAUACUGCAUUUGCAUUUUUUCAAAGUUCUAACACCGUCCAUAUUUUUUUAGAGUAAAGUUUAACACCAGUAACCAAAAAUAAGAGAGAAAGAAUAUACAGGGGCAAGAUGAAAACCAAAACAAGCCAAAAACAAGACGACCUUUACACUCAAUUACAGAGGAGGAGCAUGGAAAUCCAAAUACUUACGUUUUAUUGUCCACAAUAAUAUAGGUAAAUGGUGAAUGCCUCUUCACAAACCUGAGAAAACAUAGAAAAUCACAAAUGUGGUAACUCAUAGGAAUCAUUAAACACCCAUUACAAAAAAAAAAAAAAGCAAAUAUUCUUUCAGAGUAAAUAGUAGAAAAAAGACAAAAUAUUUAUGGCAACACAUCAGAAAUUUUUAGCACAAUAAAUAUGAGUGUGACUUUAAACUUCUUGCCAAAGAAUAGGUGCAAAAUAUAUAUUUCACUGAAAAGAAGAAAUAAACGAUAAUUAAAUAAUUUACAAGUGUAGGUGACCAUUUUCAUAAUUCAACAACUGUUAAUUAAGAUACAAACCAAAUAGAGGUUUGAAAAGUGGAAAGUUCUCAAUGUUAUUCAAAAUGUCAAAAUUAACAUAUCAGUGUGGAACAUCAAAGCCACAUCACAAUAUUUCAUGCAGACACUGAUGCAAUUGAAUGAAAAGUAAAUUUCACUUCAACUAGUAAAUACAAUUAACGCAGAAUUUUACCUAAAGAAAUUUAAGUUUAUGUCUAUCUUUUGAUGUUUCAUUUCAUCAGAGCCUCCAAUUCCAUUACACUUUUUAAUACCAUACACUUGAAAGGCAGUUUGAUAAACAUUUG
rnacentral:lncRNA from 1 species